UGCUGUUUGAGAACCAGAGCCACAAGUGGCUGGCUAGAAGCGGCAGCACCGGCUCUGUGGCUGCUGUGGGGACUGUGGUGGUGUCUGUGGGGUCCACCUGCGUGGUCUUGCUGUAGCAGGCCAUCCACUCAUGCUGCCCGUCCUCAGUGGAUAUAGACUCAUAGGGCCCUGAGCUGGGGUGAUCUUGUGUUCAAUCCUCAUUGCCCAAUAGCCCCUACCCCGGAUCUGGUUGCAGAUGUCCGUUUUUAGGGUGUGUUUGCCAGACCUCCUGGGGAAGAAAGGAAGACCUGCCAAUCUGUCUUUUCCUGCUGCUGCGAUCCCACAGCCCAGAGUGUAAGUGCCGAUUCUCUGCACUCUGCCCCAGUGCAGGGUAGACACCGGCCCGCCCCCCACCUCUUCCAGCCUCUUCUACUCCCUCACACAGCAGACUGUGCACCCCGAAGCCAGGUUCAGUUUCCCAUCUGCAUGGUCAGAGAGGGAUCCAAGUAGGUACGCGGGGAACACCCUUAUCCAGAACCAAUUACACCCCAGGCACUGCGCUCAGAGCGCUAUCUACAUUUGCUUUUAAUCCUUGCCAUACAAGAUGUUGUCAUUAUUUUCCACAUGCCUAAACUGGGCUUCUAAGAUGGCACAGCUACAAAAUUCAUCAAAGAUGAAUAACUAGCAAUCAACAAGGCCAGAGAGCAAGCGCACAUCCAUCUCAUGCUAAGGCUGUGUUCUGUGGCAGUCCGACCACCCAAACUUGGUGACAUUUUAGAAGUCUGUCGGAUUAAUUGAUUUCAGUAAACCAAAGAGCACAUUUAUUUAUUUUUAUUUUCUGUGGUACUGGGGAUCGAGCUCAGGACCUCGCACUUGUGAGGCAUGCGUGUUGCCACUGAGCUAAAUCCCCAGGUUUUUAAUUUAUUUUUCAACACCACACAAUGUUCCGCAUCUUUUCUUUUUCCCUUUAGCACUAUGCUGCCUUAUAGCACUUGCAUAUGGAGACACGCCGUCAUGGCUCACAGUUUUAAUGUCUGCUUCCCCAGAGAGAAAUUCCUGACUCUCUCCACAGCUCCCGGUCUGCCUCUCAUGUUCUGGAAGCCACCCGGAGGUUGCAGGGAGGCAGGGAGAUUUGGAGUCUCAUCUCGAGGCUGUGAGGGCCACGCUGGCUUCCGUUCCUAACCUCUCCCUCCCCAUCCUCUGGGUCACGCACCUUCACGUCCACAGACUGUUUCUCCAAGAGAGUGAGCUUGGCCUCUACCAGGUGGGGAACGGCACCAGCCUGGCAUCAUAAAAUGUGCAGGGGGGUCCCUUAUGAUCCGCUCAUCCGUCCUCCAGGUUGUCGUCCGGUUCCUGACAUCCCGGGGCAGACACGCCGGUUGUCCUGAGUCUCCUGGUGGCAGGUACUCAACGAAAGUGAAAAGUAGUUUCCUUUUUAUUGGCUGUUUCCCCUGGCAACAACUCAGCUUCAACUUUGUGUCCUCUGCUCCACUAGUUAUUACUCACCUACUCUCUGUCUUCAAAAGUUUUGUUGAUAUUUCAUCUGCUCUCUUCAUGACUGGAGUUCUCUUUUGUAUAGUUUUAAUGGAGCCUUAGUAGUGGUGGUGAUAAACACAUGAUUAAAUGUACCGUGUCGACGUGGAGAUGCCUAUUGCAACAUGACCUAUGAUGAUACGGAUCGAAAAGAUCUCCAGCCCUGACCUUAUUUAACAAGUGCUGCUGUUGUCAGGAUGCUAGACACAUAUGUGAAGUUGCUUAGCCAGUCCUGGAGCAGUUUGGGCCAAGGGCUUCAGCACUCUGGGACUGUUGGUCAAGUGGUGCCUCCUAAUAUCUUAUUUGAGUAGUGUGAGAGCCCCACCUACAAAGCACAGUCUCACAGCCAAGAAUAUUUCUCAAUUUUUAUAUUUAUUUAUUUAUUUAUUGCUUUUUUGAGACAGGGUCUCACUAUGUAGUUGAGACUGACCUGGAACUCACUAUGUAGUCCAGGCUGGUCUUGAACUCACAGCAAUCCUCCUGCCUCAGCCUUCCGAGUGUACAAACACCUUUUGUUUAGAGGGUAUAGAUGAAAUUAAUUAUGGAGGGUGGGAAAGAUGAAGAAAUACUAUAGAUUUAAGCGGAAACUGUCCCAAAAUGUUUGGACAUAAGAGGAAAAAAAUCUAAAGUCAAAGUAAACUCCCAUCCAACUUCAGAUGUUUAGUUCAGAUGAUUGAGUAUGCAAUGAAUUCUUCUGAACUUCCACUUUUUAGCUGUUGUUGCCUAAUGAGGGAGAUGGGAAGGACUUCUUGGACCUAUUUCACGCAUUCCUGACUAAUGCCUAGUUUUCUCUGUUCCUGCAAAUGAUCCCAACUUGAAGAAUGGUUUGACAUAACAGGUUUGCUUUGAAAUAGCCUAGUAGUCAGGUGUGAUGGUGCAUACCUAUAAUCACAGAGCUGGGAAGGCUGAGGCAGGAUGAUUGCCUCGAGUUCGAGGCCAGCUUGGACUACAUAGUGAGACUCCGUCUCAAACAAAACAGAACAGAACAAAAACACAAACAAAAAAGAAAGAAAGACAGAGGGGA
ensembl:lincRNA